rnacentral:rRNA from 1 species
AUUGAACGCUGGCGGCAGGCCUAACACAUGCAAGUCGAACGAGUGGCGGACGGGUGAGUAAUGUCUGGGAAACUGCCUGAUGGAGGGGGAUAAAUACUGGAAACGGUAGAUAAUACCGCAUACCAUCAGAUGUGCCCCGAUGGGUUUAGCUUGUUGGUGGUGUAACGGAUCACCAAGGCGACGAUCCCUAGCUGGUCGGAGAGGAUGACCAGCCACACUGGAACGGAGAACCGGGCCAGAGUCCGACGGAAGGCAGCAGUGGUGAAUAUUGCACAAUGGGCGCAAGCCUGAGGCAGCAAUGCCGCGUGUAUGAAGAAGGCCUUCGGGUUGUAAAGUACUGUCAGCGGGGAGGCGUUACCCGCAGAAGAAGCACCGGCUAACUCCGUGCCAGCCGCCGCGGUAAUUC